rnacentral:rRNA from 1 species
CUGGCGGCGUGCCUAACACAUGCAAGUCGAGCGAGGAGAUUCCUCGGGAUGAUCCUAGCGGCGGACGGGUGAGUAACACGUGGGCAACCUGCCUCAUAGAGAGGAAUAGCCUUCCGAAAGGGAGAUUAAUACCUCAUAACAUUGCAGUUUCGCAUGGAACAGCAAUUAAAGGAGUAAUCCGCUAUGAGAUGGGCCCGCGGCGCAUUAGCUAGUUGGUGAGGUAACGGCUCACCAAGGCGACGAUGCGUAGCCGACCUGAGAGGGUGAUCGGCCACAUUGGGACUGAGACACGGCCCAGACUCCUACGGGAGGCAGCAGUGGGGAAUAUUGCACAAUGGGGGAAACCCUGAUGCAGCCAACGCCGCGUGAGUGAUGACGGCCUUCGGGUUGUAAAGCUCUGUCUUCAGGGACGAUAAUGACGGUACCUGAGGAGGAAGCCACGGCUAACUACGUGCCAGCAGCUGC